rnacentral:lncRNA from 1 species
UUGGAUUCUCCUCCUCCGGCGUGAGAGUGAUUACAGCAUUAUUGGCCUCCCGAAGAAGUUUCCUAUGGGAAAAGAAUAUCUGACGCUGCCUCCAUAACCUGAUCACCGAUAGUCUGCAGGCUGGCACUGUCUUACACAUUAGCCAUCAGGUCCUGGCCCCUUAUGGCGAACCAGAUCGAACACCACCCAUUUCACCUCUUCUACAGUAACUGGCGGGGUGGAGAGAAGAUCAAUAUGCUCAAUAGAUGAAGUAGUACCGAUGGUGUCCCGAAGCAUCUGCAUCAAUCGAUGAAGCUUAUGUUAAGAACACUGAGAACAGAAGCUCCUCAUCUGAUGCUAUUACUGAUACCAAGAAGAACAGGGGAAGCAAGAUAUACAAGAGCAAUAAAAAGAAAACAUAUGAAGAAGAGGAAGUAGAGUAUAUACAUGCUGCUAAGAAGAUAUGCUGCUGAGAAGAAUGAGAAGAGAACCUGUUUCGAACACUCUGUAUAGUGCUGCAAGUCUUGGCUAGUCUCGACAAUUAGUCUAGUGUAAUUCAGUUCUGGAAGUUAGUUAGUUUUUGCUUCAGUUAGUUAGUUAUAUUUUCUUCAACUGAUUCAAUACCUGUAAAAACAAAUUUCAGAGAUAGUCCUUGUGUAUAAAAGGCUAACUCUCGAUUGAAUGUUAAUAAUGGAAAGGAAAGAGAAAGAAGUCUUUCAUCUCAAGAUCUCUCUACAGAUUCUUCAUCCCAUUUUUCUUCUCUGCGCAUAAACUUCUUCAUGGUAUCAGAGCAUCUGCAUCUUGAAGAAAUCAUCUUGAUGCUGAACAAAGUAGAGAGAUCUAGACCAGAUCGAAGUUAGAUUCGAAGCUUCUUUGAUCUCUGAAGAUAUCUGUAUCUUCCAACAAGAUCUGUGAGUUGGUAUUUUUCAUCCACAUCUAAAUCUUCAUCAGCAAUAUUCUUGUUGCAGCAUACUGCAAAUCAGUAGAAUUUGUGUCUGCAACUAGAGUUGAUAAGAGAUCAGGAAGAAUAGAAUGGCAGCAAGAAGUUUGAGAUAUCCAUUUCCUAUUCAUGUUAAUAUCUCGAAUUUCGUUACCAUCAAAUUAGCUGAGGAUAAUUUCCUCCUGUGGCAAGCUCAAUUCUAUAGAUUCUUAAGAAGCCAAGAUCUAUUCGGUUUUGUGAAUGGGGAAAUUUCACCACCUGCAAAGACAGUACAAGUUGAAGAAGGAGGUCAAACUUCUUAGAUCCCUAAUCCUGAUUAUCAUGACUGGAUAAAAACAGAUCAGCUUGUAUCUUCUUGGAUUAGUGGUGCAGUAUCAGAGAAUAUACUCAGCCUGAUAAUUGGUUUAAACACUGCUUAUGAAGUUUGGCAAACUCUGUUAAAUCGGUUCACACAAAAAUCAGUAGUUAAGGAGUUCGAGUUAAGAGGAAAACUGCAGGCUUGCCAGAAACGUGAACAAACAUUAUCAGCAUACCUCAGGGAGUACAAGUCAAUAUGUGAUCAAUUGAAUGCCAUAGGAAAACCAGUUGAUGAAAUCACAAAACUAUUUGGAGUUCUGGAAGGCUUGGGAUCUAAGUAUGAAAGUUUCAAAACUACAAUCUAUUGCUUGAAGCCCCAACCAGAAUAUGAUGAAGUAAUCUCACACUUAGAAAGAUUCGAAGCCAGGUUACAGAAUUAUUCUUUAAAUCAGUUCAGUCCUAACCUAGCUUACUAUGGCUAGAGGAAAACUGAAGCUAUACANNNNNNNNNNNNNNNNNNNNNNNNNNNNNNNNNNNNNNNNNNNNNNNNNNNNNNNNNNNNNNNNNNNNNNNNNNNNNNNNNNNNNNNNNNNNNNNNNNNNGGAGGAAGAGAUUAUGGAAGAGGAAGAACAUAUAAUGCCAGAUACAGGAACUUUGGUUAUCUUGGAAGAAACAUGAGUUACAGAAAUAAUAACUCAAACUAUAAACAAGAAAAUCAGCAGUUCAAACAAUUCAAUACCUCCUCUGGCUUGGGUACUGUUCAAGGAUUUAGACCAUACAAUGUAUCGGCACAAAGGUAUUCUGAUACCAAGUCAUAUCCUGCAUCAAAUUCAACUCUUCACAAAAAGGUACAAGUGGAAAAACCAGCAGAACACACUCGACUUGAGUGUCAAAUCUGUAAGAGGCCUGGUCAUGAUGGCUUACAUUGUUGGUAUCGGUUUGAUAACUCCUAUCAAGCUAAGGAGAUACCAACAGCUCUAGCAGCACUACUACAUAUAGAGGAGGCAAAUGAUCAAGAAUGGUAUCCAGACACUGAAGCAACAGCCCAUAUUACCUCUAAUGCUGGUAUACUUCAUAGUCUUUCUAAAAAUAACAAUGCUGAUAUAGUCAUGAUAGGCAAUGAUCUACGUUUAUCUGUCAAAUACAUUGGUAAUGCAAUACUGAAUAUUGCAAUUACUGCCUUGCCUCUCAAAGAUGUGCUGAUUGUUCCUGAGAUUAAGAAAAAUCUUCUAUCAGUGUAAAAAUUCACUGAUGAUUACCCUUGUUCCUUUAUUUUUGACAAAACUGGUGUGUACAUCAAGGACAACACCACCAACACAACCAUGAAGUUAGGAAGGAAGGUUAGAGGGCUGUACAGAGUAGACCCUCAUGCUGCAGAAGUCUAUUUCACACAAAGACAAAGAAUUGUUGCAGAGAGUAUCUGGCAUCAACGACUGGCUCAUACAAAUCAGAAUAUCUUGAAGCAUUUGAGGAAUCAAAAUCUAAUUCAGUAUAACAAAGAACCACAGUAUGUACGUAGAAGUUGCCAAAUAGCUAAGAGUACUGCUCUACCCUUUCCAUUAUCAACUUCUACAGCUACAAAACCUCUAGAACAAAUUCACUGUGAUAUUUGGGGACCUUCUCCAGUUAAAUCUUUUCAGAGUUUCAAGUACUAUGUCAUUUUUGUUGACAAUUUCUCUCGGUUCAGUUGGAUAUACCCAUUAAAGCUGAAGUCAGAUUUCUAUAGUAUUUUUCUCAUGUUUCAAAAGUUAGUAGAAAAUCAGCAUAACUGUAAAAUCAAGACCUUCCAGUGUGAUGGUGGAGGAGAGUUUAUUAGCCAAAGGUUCAGAACUCACCUACAGAACUGUGGCAUUCAACAGCAUAUCUCAUGUCCAUAUACACCUGAGCAGAAUGGGAUACCUGAAAGGAAGCAUCGACAUAUAGUUGAACUUGGUCUGGCUAUGCUAUAUCAUGCAAAAAUUCCAUUAAAAUUUUGGGUAGAUGCAUUUGUAACAGCCAACUAUAUUGUUAACAUUCUUCCUACUCAAAAAUUACAGAUGCAGUCUCCCUUCAGCAAAUUAUAUCAGCAUAAACCAAGAUAUGACCAUCUCAGAACCUUUGGCUGUGCUUGCUAUCUCUGUCUUCGACCAUAUGCACAAAAUAAGCUGGAUCCACGGUCACUAACCUGUGUCUUUCUUGGAUACAGUGAUCACUAUAAGGGAUAUCGAUGCCUUCUCUCUACUACUAGUCAUGUCUACAUUAGUCGGCAUGUAGUGUUUGAUGAAAAAAUUUUCCCAUUCUCUCAUAAAUUAGCAACAGUUUAUCCUUCCUACACACACUUGUAUAAAUUGUGGACAGAAGAAGAGCAGUUCCUAGCUUCCUCAAUUACAAAUCACAUAAAACAUUCAACUUCUCAGUAUACAGAUUGGGAACAAGAAGCCACAGCUAAUCAAACAAAUGGAGUAUUCUUACCUGAAUGCACAGAACAAGCAGUUUCUGUCUCUCUAGCUGAAUUUCCUAUGGAUCAAGUAUCCACCUCUAUUCAGGAUAGUCCACAACAAGUUGAAGUACCUAUUCCCAUAACUGAGACAAUAGAUGAACCAAAUAUGGAACAACAUACUUCAAAUAAUCAGACAGAUUCACAAGGUACAUUACAUACUCACCCUAUGCAGACUAGGUCUAAGUUUGGCAUUAUCAAGACCAAUCCUCGGUAUGCAUGUCUUGCUAUAUAUGAAGUACCUACUGAACCAAAAACAAUCAAAUCAGCCUUAGCACAUAAAGGCUGGUAUAAGGCAAUGACAGAAGAGAUGGAUGCACUUUAUCAGAACAAAACUUGGGAAUUAACUCCUCAAACUAGUCAAAUGAAUGUCAUUGGCUGUAAGUGGGUAUUUAAAACAAAGCUUGCAGCUGAUGGUAGCCUUGAUAGACUUAAGGCUCGACUAGUUUUUAAAGGAUUUCAUCAAAAAGAGGGCAUUGACUUUACAGAAACAUUUAGUCCAGUCAUCAAACAUGCUACAAUUCGUAUAGUUCUAUCUGUAGCCAUGAUGAAACACUGGCCAAUCCAUCAACUAGAUGUCAAAAAUGCAUUUUUACAUGAUACAUUGAAUGAGAUAGUUUACAUGGAGCAGCCUCCUGGUUUUCAAGAUCCCAAGAAACCUCAUCAUAUAUGUCUACUCAGGAAGUCUCUUUAUGGACUUCGACAAGCUCCUCGAGCCUGGUUUGACAAGUUCAACAACUUUCUGCUUGAAUAUGGGUUCUUUUGCAGCUCAACUGACCCAUCCUUGUUCAUCUAUCAUAAUGAUACAGACACUAUACUUCUACUACUAUAUGUUGAUGACAUUAUCCUGACUGGAAGCUCCUCUCAGUUACUUUCCAACCUCAUCCAUUCUCUAAGGGGGUGCAUGAUAAAAAUUAUUUCUGUUCCAGAAAUGAUUUUUCUGUUCCAGACUAAUUUCUGAAACAAAAACUUGUUUGAUAAGGCUACUCAAAUUUUCUAUUUCUGGAAUAGAUUUCUAUUCCAGAAAUAGAAAUGGAGGAGAAAUCAGAAGUUUCUACUUCUGAUUUCUCCCACUAAAAACCCUAAUUUCACUCGGUCCUCCCUCGUACGUCUCUGCCUCCUCCUCCUCCUCCUCCUCCUCCUCCUCCGCCUCUGCUCAUCUCCUCGAGACAUCGUCUCCUCCGCCUCUCCUCAUCUCCUCGAGACAUCGUCUUCUCCAUUGGACACUCGGAUCGUCUCCUCCACUGGACGCUCUCUGCCUCUCCUCUUGCUCAUCCACAUCUACUCGCGAAUCCACCCCCUCGCCGCGACCCACUGUCCCCGCUUAUUGUCCGAGCACCCCUCGGCAACAGAUCUCGCGCCUGCACCCCCGCCGCUCGUUCCCCUGCGACGCUAGAAGCCCUUUGCAACAGAUCUGAGCAUCGACGCCCCAAGCCGCUCUUGCUCUGCUCUGUCUCACCAAAAGCUGCCAUCACCCCGCGACCUCAGCAACGCCGCGCGCCCUCUCCUCAUCCAGCGACGAGCUGCUCGCGAAUCCACCCCUUCGCCUCAUCCAGAAGCCCUCUGCGGCACAUCGGAGCCGCUCGAGUUCGUCCGACGAGGCCCACGACCGUGAAGUGCGCAAAGAAGCAGAACUACCCUUCUCCUCCCUUCUCUGGUUCGUGCCGAUUCCUCUUCUUUUUCUCUCUCUGUUGAGUGCUCUGCUGCAUUGCGCUUUGGUCGCGUCGAGUUUGAGGCGGGAGCGAUGGGCUGAGACGCCGGAUUCGGUGCCGCGAUUCUGGAUGAUCGGGGUUGUUAUCGGGAGAUUUUAGGCGAAGGAGUGCUUCGUUGCUCCUUUUGGAAGCUUUCGAGCUCGUGUGCUGUGAAUCGCGCGCGUGCGGUUCCUUCAUUCUCUCGCUAGCCUUUUGGUUCGAGAUCGUCCACCGCGUCGCCUCCACUUUCGUCGGUAGCUCGUGGACUCUGCGCUCGUGUUUCGUGGUGUUUUGCUGCUUCGGAAGCUGAACCAAAUAAACCUGAAACUUCGUGAAUGAUGAAGAGGUCACUUUAGUGUCGCUCCGUGUUAUUUGGUCUCGUGCAGCGUAUACCGAUGCUCACAAAACUGUGGGAAUGUGAUUGCGUCAGCGUUGUUGUUUUGUUAAAAUGAAUGAAAAUUUUGUGCUUAGUAUCUUAGUUGAUCUCUGCAAUGGUGCUAACGAAUGGAAAGUGUGUCUAAAGAAUUCUUAAUCUCGUUAAUUUGAUUAUCUAAUAGAAAUUGGGAAAAAGAUAUUAGCUCAUUUUAGCCGGUAAGCUUGUAGACCAUGUAUAUUGUUCAGUUUUGUACGCACUAAUUCCGUUUGCUAAAAACUUAUAGGAGAAGGAAGCCCUGGCAAAUGUAAAUUUUUGCGAUCUCUUAAGCCGCAUCUGGAAUAUGGGGAUUUGGCUUGAUGCCAGGAAGUGAAUAGUUUAUUCUUAUUGUUAAUAAUAUAAUUGCUACUGCUAUUAUUCUCAUUAUUUUCAUCAUUGCUAUUCUUUGUAUUAUACUAAAGCUGGAUAGAGUCUUUAGUGAUCUAGCUUUUAAGAGGACUGAAAGAGGUUAUUUAGGAUUCAUAUAGUUUGGUUUUUCUAGCCGUAUAAGUGAUUUUCCUUCAAUUUAAAGGAAGCUUUCGAUCGAAACUGAAGAUGGGGAUUUUGAGAUCUGUAUUAUUAAUUGUUUUCAUUGGUUGAAUGCUGUUUGUAAACCAAUUACCUAUGUAGUCCAAUACUGGGAUUAUUAUAUUUGUACUUGGCCUGAAGUUACAAAUGUGGAUUGGCAAUCAAAUUUUAUUGGAGCUUGUGUUAUCUACUUCCCUCCAUCUAAUUGAUGCUAUGACCUGCUUUUGUUAGUCCACCACAGUUUGCUACUUGGGUUCGAUCUGAUUGUAUAAGCUUUCUUUUUGCCAUAAGCUUUCUUUGUUGUAAUAUUUAAUUCACAUCAAAUUGUGACUGGUCUAUGGAUAUAAUUCUAACCAUCAUAUAAAUGUCAUUGCAGCAGACACUUGAGCCGCUCGAGUUCGUCUGACGAGGCCCAGGACCGCGAAGUGCGCAAAGAAGCAAAACUACCCAUCUCCUCCCUUCUCUGGUUCGUGCUGAUUCCUCUUCUUUUUGCAUGGGUUCGUGUGCUUUUUUGCAUAUGAAUCUUAGGAUUGAAACUGGGUUUGCUGCAUGUGGAUAUGAAUAAGAGAUUGGAGUUGGUUUUGCUGCUCGUGGGUAUGAAUAAGAGAUGGGUAGAUUCGCCUAUCUUUGAAUUUUCUGUCAAAUGCCGUCUCUGUUUCAUUCCUAGUUAUUAUGAACAAAUAGAUGGGGCAUUGAUUGGUGGGAAUGUUUUUUUGCUUGUAAUAUAUGGUUGCUUGUAAAAUUUUAUAUGAGGAUUAUUCUCUUUUUGCUUGAUGUGAUAUCGACAUCAAAGUCUAUGCGCUUGAACUGGUACACCAAUUGAUAUGGCUCAUUUGAUGCUCAAGUAGUUAAGGUUAAAUGGCUUCCCACAAAGAGGUUUGUAUGGCAAAGUGGAUUGAGCCUUUGACCAAUGAGCUUGUAAGUUUGUUGGUAACAGAGGUAAUAAAGGGAAAUCUCACCACUUCUACCUUCAACAAAACAGGAUGGAUUAACAUACAUGCCGAAUUCAAUAGAUGGAUGGGACUCAACUUUAGUAUAAUUCAGUUGAAAAACAGGGUCAACAAACUGAAGAAACAAUAUAGUAGUUUUAAGAAACUUUUGUCACAAUCUGGAUUUGGAUGGGAUAAUAUAAACAAUAAGGUUGAUGUGGAUGAUCAAAGUGUGUGGGAGUCUCACAUCAAGGUAUCAAUUUACCAAUGUCAUUUUGUUCAUAUUGUAUUGCAAGCUUUGAUUAUAUUGCCAACAUCUGUCAUUAUUGUAUAAAUUACAGAAUAAUAGCGAAUGGGCUAAAUUCAGAAAUGAUGGGUUUCCUCAGUAUCUUGAUUUGUGUAUCGUGUUUGGUGAUACAUAUGCUAUUGGGAACUAUGCAUCAGGAAAUGCAGAAGAAGUGGUAGUGUCCUCUGAGAGAGAUGACAAUGGUGGUGACAAUGGUGAUGGUGGUAGUGGUUAUGCAGUAGGUGAUCCAGAGGAAUUUGAUGAAUAGCGUAUUGAUGAGGAGGCCUUCAUUCCUGAUACGACUACUACCUCCAAUCUUAAGAAACACAAGCAGGAUAUGACUCCAAAUUCUAAGAGGAGGAGGAAGAGUACCAGAUAUGAUGUUAGUGACACCUGCAAAGCCAUUCAAGAAAUGAUUAAAAUCAGGACGGCUCAAUCAACAAGUGGCUCUGUGACCUCAGAUGCCCCAUCAACUGUAGACCCCUACUCCACAGCAGCCGUGGUUGCCGUCUUAAAUAGUAUGCCUAAUUUAGAGCAGAAUAUUUACAACAAAGCUAUGAACCAAUCAUGUCUUAAUGCCAGUUGGAGAGUGGCUUUUAUCAUAAUGCUACCUGAAAGGAGACGUGGAUUUCUUGAAUCUCUUUAAACAGAUGUUGAGUAGUAUGCUAUGGAUUUAUAUAUUUUGUUUAAUUUCACUCUAUGACUUAUGUAUUUGAGAUACUUAGGUCUUUUUAUGAUGCAAUUAUGAAAACUUUGUGGCUAUUGUUGAUUAUUAUUAGAUUCCUUACUUAUAUAUUGUGUUUAUAUAUAUAUAUAUAUAUAUAUAUAUAUAUAUAUAUAUAUUUAUUUUUUAUUUUUUUCAUGUGAAGGCAUAGGUAAUAUGAAGGGGGAUGAAAGUAGCAUGUGUAGUGAUCAAGUAGCAACAGGUGAAUCGGUUGAACCAAUCUUUGAUGAUUUUGAUAUUGAUAUUAUGAUAGCAUGGUUAAGCAUGGUUGCGGUGGAUAUGUCUUUGCAUUCGAGAGAACCUAUUAGGGAUAGCAUAUUGUCAGGACCCGAAUGGAUGAUGGAGGUUCUUCAAGGACAUUCAGAUAGAAUAUAUGAAUCUUUUAGAAUGGAGAGACACGUUUUUCUUAAUCUUUGUGAUUUGAUGAAAGCAAGAAGUUGGUUGAAAGAUAAUUGAUAUAUAAAGGUAGAUGAACAAAUUGGGAUAUUCUUAUUUAUGAUUUGUCACAAGAACUCGAAUAGAACUUUAUGCGAGAGAUUCCAACGUUCGAGACAAACUAUUAGCAAAUACUUCACUAUAGUGUUGCAAGCAGUUCUCAAACUUGCAAAAGAGAUUAUCGUACCGCCUUCCUUUGAUGUGGUCCCAAAUGAGAUUCUUAUGGAUCCCAACCAUAAACUUUAUUUCAAGGUAAGAUUUUCAUACAUUCAUUUACAAUAUCGGUUUCAUUUUGUUGCUAAUCUUAUAUAACACUAGUCUUUGAUAAAACGAUGGGAUUGUGUGGGCACUAUUGAUGGUACUCAUGUUCAUGCUUCUAUACCUUUGUCGAAGCAAAUUUCAUUUAGAGGCAGAAAAGGAGGUACCACUCAAAAUGUAAUGUGUGUAUGUUCGUUUGAUGUGAAAUUCACUUUUGUGUAUACUAGUUGGGAAUGAUCUGCCAACGAUUGUCGGGUGUUAUCAGCAGCACUUGAGACUCAUCGAUUGGAAUUUCCUCGACCUCCACUAGGUAUUUUUACUUGUUUUAGAAUUAUCAAUUUUCUUUAAGAUUGUAUUGUAUUUACAAAUCACUACUAAUAUAUGAAUAUUUUGUUAUAGGCAAAUACGAUGUUGUAGAUUCUGGUUAUACAUCAAUUACGGGAUUCUUAACUCCUUUUAGACGCGAACGGUAUCAUCUAAAUGAGUAUAGGGGUAGAGCAAGACGAUCAAGAACAGCAAGAGAGUUGUUCAAGUAGAGGCAUUCUUCACUAAGGAAUGUCAUUGAGAGAUCAUUUGCGGCAUUAAAGAAUCGCUUCUUUAUUUUGAAACACAUGCCUGCAUUUGCAAUUCGAAAGCAAGCACAUGUUGUAAUUGCAUGUUGUGCUAUCCAUAACUACAUCCGUGAUCAAGACGGGAGGGAUAAAAACUUUUCCUUAUAUGGAGAUCCAGAGUACUCAUGUGAAUCUGUACAAGAUGAGGUUGUAGGUGAUACAUCGACAGGUGAUACAUCGACCAAGGAGAAAAUUGAGAUGAAUAUGCUUAGAAAAAAUAUUGCCAAUAAGAUGGCAAGGGAUCAUAAUAUGCCGGAGAUUCCAUGAAAUCGUGUUUUUAAUUUUUGUAAUGUAUUUCUAUUAUUUUGUAUUUGGGGAUUUACAAUCUUUGCUUUUGUAUUGUGAUAAUGUAUUUGAUGAUUUCUAUCUCAAUUCUUGUAAUGUGAUGUUCUACUUGAUGAUUUCCCUUAUUUGUAAUAGUCCUUGUUACACUUCGUAAAAUUCGCCGAUUUUGUAAAAUUUGCCGCAAAUUACCCAAUACACUUCUUUGUGUUUCUUUCUAAAACGAUUGCUCGAUAUCGUAAACCGUGGCAGCGAUCAACGUGACACACUAGCAUGAAGGGGAUUAGAAUAUGGUUGCCCGCCUUCAUUCUACUAGAAUUUUGGGAACCUUCUAUCAUGCUCAAGAGUAAUGCAUAUUGAUCUCUUUUUUCUAUUGUAUGAAGACUAUUGAUAAGUAUAUUGUUUGACCGUAAUUACCUAUCUACGUGGAUGCUAAAAAAUUUUGUGUGAAAAUUUACAAAAUUUGAUAUAACAUAUCUUACUUUGUAUUUUUUUUUUUUUUUGCAAAAAAGAGAGACUUUACUAUAAAAAAAAAAGUCAUACUUUGUAUUUGGGUCAAUGGUUUCAUAAGCAUAUGAAAUUUGUAAGAAUGUACAUCUCAUUUGCUCCAAAAAAAGAAAAAUUUGUUUUAAGAAAUAUAAAUUUUAUUCAGUUAUCAAACGAAUUUCUAUUUCUGAAACAGAAAUUUUGUAUCAUUAUUAAACAGAUUUUUUUCCUCAGAAACUCGUCCAGAAAUAGAAAUAGAAAAAUUCAUUUCUGUUCCAGAAACUAUUUCUCGCCCUCUACACUACUUUCUUGGCAUUGAAGCCAAAAAUACUUCCGAUCACCUAUUUCUUUGCCAGACUAAAUAUGCCAAAGAUCUUCUUACUCGAGCUCAUAUGCUUGAGUGCAAACCAAUUACUACUCCUAUAUCACUAAAACCAAUUGUUCUGAUAAAUGACUCUGCUCCACUCUCCAAUCUUGCAGAAUAUCGAAGCUUAGUGGGUGGUCUUCAGUAUCUGACUUUAACAAGACCUGACAUUGCAUAUGCCACAAAUCAGCUGUGUCAGAAAUUACAAAAACCCAUUGUUGCAGACUUACAUAAACUCAAGAGAGUUUUAAGAUAUGUCAAAGGCACUAUAAGUCUUGGAGUCUUUAUUCACUCUCGCAGCUCUCUCCAUCUGUAUGGGUUCUCAGAUGCAGAUUGGGCAGGAUGUGUUGAAACAAGAAGAUCAACAACAGGGUUUUGUACAUACCUUGGCUCCAAUCUCAUAUCUUGGGCAGCAAAGAAACAAUCCACAGUCAGUCGAUCCUCUACAGAAGCUGAGUAUCGUGCUCUUGCUUCUACAUCUGCUGAACUUACUUGGAUCAGCUUCGUCCUACAGGAUAUAGGAUGCUCAUUGACUCGUCCAACACAACUCUUUUGUGACAAUAAAUCCGCCAUUUCUCUCACUAUUAAUCCUGUCCUACAUGCUCGCACCAAACACAUUGAGAUAGACUUUCAUUUUGUUAGGGAAAAAGUCUCAUCAGGGUCACUACAAGUGAAAUAUGUUCCAAGUAACUAUCAACUUGCUGAUAUAUUCACAAAACCUCUCUCUCGUAUUACACAUUAUCAGCUACGAAUCAAAUUAGGAAUCGGUUUCUUACCCAUUCCCAAUUUGAGGGGGGCUGUUAAGAACAGUGAGAACAGAAGCUCCUCAUCUGAUACUAUUACCGAUACCAGGAAGAAUAGGGGAAGCAAGAUAUACAAGAGCAAUAAAGAGAAAACAUAUGAAGAAGAGGAAGUAGAGUAUAUACAUGCUGCUGAGAAGAUAUGCUGCUGAGAAGAAUGAGAAGAGAACCUAUUUCGAACACUCUAUAUAGUGCUGCAAGUCUUGGCUAGUCUUGACAGUUAGUCUAGUGUAAUUCAGUUCUGGAAGUUAGUUUUUGCUUCAGUUAGUUAGUUAUAUUUUCUUCAACUGAUUCAAUACCUGUAAAAACAGAUUUCAGAGAUAGUCCUUGUGUAUAAAAGGCUAACUCUCGAUUGAAUGUUAA